rnacentral:tRNA from 1 species
GUCUUUUUAGUAUAAAAAUAUAAAUGAUUUCCAAUUAUUAGAUCUUAGUUUAAUCUAAGAAAAGACA